rfam:Phytophthora nicotianae strain race 0 contig5273, whole genome shotgun sequence.
UCCCAAAUAGUCUNGGCGGUUAGGAUACGUGGCUUUCACNCACGCGACCCGGGUUCGAGUCCCGGUUUGGNAA